UCUACUGCAGUACAAACACGAUUUUGGCAAAUUAAACCUUGUCAGAGUCACAGCAAACUUCCUACUGAUCUGAGUUCACUUAUGCUUUUGUUACAGUUCUGGACUUCUUUCUGAUGUUUCCCUUUGGAUGUGUACUUUAAAACUAUUUCAUGAACUUGAGAUGUUUGAUUCUCCGCACAGUCUCAAGUAGGCAAGAUAUUUCUUUCUAUGGUCGUCUUCUUCCUCCUGCCUUGUUUUCAACUUGGCAUCUGGCAAAGCUGGACAAACUCUGGGACAUAAAAAUUCCCUUAACUAGAAGGAGCUUCAUGAGCAGCAGAUCCUACCAGCACCUGUCUCAGGGUUUCGUUCCAGCCUAGAAACUCUGGUGUCUAACAAGGACCAGGUUCUGGAUUCUGCAGCCUGCAAACCUCAGCAGUUUCUCACUCCUACCCAGGCACUUCCUUCUGAGGACUUCACAGACUCUUAAUACAUACCAGCCCCCUAUCAAAUUAGGUUACAAUAGACCACGAGUUCAUAAAAGAUUGGUCACAUCAUGUGGAAGGGAGAUUAAUAAUUAAUACAGUUUGUUCUAAUGCGUAAUGACUUUUUUUCAUUAGGAAGUAUGCCUAACAGAAUAAACACAUUUCGGCUCUGUUAACAACCGAGAGGCCAACAUUGCUGGCUAUAAACCCAGAGCAGCUCUGAUGCAUCAGCUACCUUCAGUGACAGCAAAGGCUAAUCUAAAGCCCCUGACUGACCAACACUGACACAUACACACCACCUACCCACAGCAGUUCUCCAUCAGGUAACCAGGCGUGUCUAUGAGAAAGGAUGGGGACAGCAGAGAUCAGAUUUCUGAACGACUCCUCACUUGCGCUCAGCAAAUUAAAACAUUAUGCUAGAACGUGGAGCACUGUGUGUUAUAAUUUUCCUGUUUUAGUCAUGCUCUAGAAAUAAGAAUAUUUAAACACGUUUUGGAAAAUCCUGUACUCCGUUGCCUGAGGUACAGUAUUCUCAGAGGACACUGCUAAUCCAACAAACUCCACAAAAUAAGCAAAAUGACUUUCCUUUGUCACUUAUGGCUGCUAAACUAUAAUAAAGGAAAUGUAAAUCUGGGUUCA